CAGCGAAAAAAAGUUCCACUGCUCGCACGAGCGAGCGAGCAGCGAGGCGCCCAGAGAGCCCUCGAGCGAGAACCCCACUGUCGUCUCCCUCAGAUGCAGCCGCCCGCCGAAUCAAAUCGCGCUGCCAGCCUCGUCUGCCUCGCCGUGCCUGCGUCCCUCCCCGGACGGCGGCGACGAUGGAGGAAGCCACUGGCGCUGGCCAGGCCCCCGGGCGAUGGACGCGGCGGAUCGUCGCUCCUCAGGGCCAGCCCCUCCCGCCGCGCUGGAUCACGUGGCAGCCUAGGUUGACGAUAGGAGAUGAAGUACGUUUGAACAAACAUGUUCUUUCACUUUUCCCAACGAGGUGGAGCUUGCACAUAUGGACAUAUGGGUAGGAUGAAGUUGUUGAGGAUGCACGUGUACCCGAGGAACAAGUACCACCUGACGCUGCAGAUGACGAGGUUGGGAAAGGGCGCCCACUGCGAGAACGUCUUCAGUAACAUGGUCUACCUCUCACCCAAAGCAUGGUGGGUUGGGAACUCAGGAUGAAGGAAGAAUACUCCUGAGAGCCCAAACUCGAGCUUCCAAAGGAUAUGCGUAAUGUAUGUGUGCCUCUACUCUAUGCAUAUGUAAUUGUUUUUUCUAUGUUUUCUGCUCCUCUCUGACACAAUGUGGAAGAUGUUGGUUUUAAAGGCUAGGAGGGGCAGCCAGUGGUGGAGUAAUCAGUGGUUUAGUUAGGUACAUAUAAUAGAAGUAAAAGAUGUUUAGUAGGUGCACCAAUUGUGUUCUACUUCCACAUAUUUCUUCCUUGAUUUUACCGUGCAUAAUCUUAGGGGUUGUGCUCUGGGGGUAGGUAAUAUAUUCUUAUAAUAUGUUAUUCCAGUAUGCAAAUUGUCAGGGGAUUCGUAUUUUGUAGAUUCUGGGAUAAGGGGUCCUGGUUAUUCCAGUAUGCAAAUUGUCAGGGGAUCGUAUUUUGUAGAUUCUGGGAUCUUGCUGGGAAAGUUGAAUCAUUAUUCUUUAUAUGUGAUUGUUCAAAACCCAAUUAAGAAUCCAAGUACGGAUUGGGAAGAUAUCAGGACACAAAUUAUUUGCCUGGUGUAUAACCAAUAACUAGCUCGAGUGCUUUGGAGGAGGCUGGGGUUUAUCUUUUAUAAAAACUACUAUUAGUUGCUCCAGAAAGUUAUAGUUAGCACUAAGGAGAAAUUUCCGCAGUCAAAACUUGUCUGUGUUCAUGACAUCAUUUCUUUGCCGCAACAACGCUUUUAUUUGUUUUAAAUUUUCAGAGUUAUGUUCGAUGAACCAACUUUCGUCAGUUAUGAUGUUAAUUACUUCGAUCCUUUGCAGUAUGCUGAAGGUUGAAACUGAGGCUGUCACUAUGAAAAAUAUUUGCCUCUCAGUUUAAAUUCCUCGGUAAAGAUUCGGUAAGAUACUUGAAUAGUGUAGAUGUUGAAUUACCUGUAUACAUGACAAUUAAAGAAUUAUGGGCUGAUACCUUCCAAUGUUGGUUGAACUACAUAUGCUUUGCUUACUGGUUUUUCUAGAUAAAAAUAAGGGAUGUUGUGUUGUUGGCAAGCUUGAUACC